rnacentral:misc_RNA from 1 species
AACUUUAUAUAUAUAUAUAUUGCUAGCCGAAGAUGUAGAUGACCGAAGACAACAAAGAAAGAUGCUUAGCUAUUUUAAGAAGCUUGAACUUUUCGACAGUAUGAUAGUAUCAUUACGAAGUCCUUGGCUGAGGAACCCACUGAUGCCGGUACUUUCUUCGAGGUUGACGCCGUCCGAAACCACAAGUCCACCAAGUUGUGUAAUUGCAGAGUUGGAAGCACUGGCUGACCCCGACACAUUAUUUCCACCUCAGCCUCGUUAGCAAGAUCAAGUUUUUUCACAAGAUACUUCUGAAUGAACGAGACGGGCAUUUUACCAUCCUUAAUCCUCAGGUAACAUGCAGAUAUUUGUGGCAAGGAAUCAUCUCCUUUCUGGUCUUCAGAGGCAACUAAUGAAAACCAAAUUGGACAAUUUCUUCUGUUGUUCUUAGCACCUCCAGCAUCAAGCAUGCGUUGUGCUGAGGCACUUAGCUCUUCAGCCAUAGCUGCCCUUUUCCG